AGUGAACGCUGGCGGUAGGCCUAACACAUGCAAGUCGAACGGCAGCACAGUAAGAGCUUGCUCUUACGGGUGGCGAGUGGCGGACGGGUGAGGAAUACAUCGGAAUCUACUUUUUCGUGGGGGAUAACGUAGGGAAACUUACGCUAAUACCGCAUACGACCUACGGGUGAAAGCAGGGGAUCUUCGGACCUUGCGCGAUUGAAUGAGCCGAUGUCGGAUUAGCUAGUUGGCGGGGUAAAGACCCACCAAGGCGACGAUCCGUAGUUGGUCUGAGAGGAUGAUCAGCCACACUGGAACUGAGACACGGUCCAGACUCCUACGGGAGGCAGCAGUGGGGAAUAUUGGACAAAGGGCGCAAGCCUGAUCCAGCCAUACCGCGUGGGUGAAGAAGGCCUUCGGGUUGUAAAGCCCUUUUGUUGGGAAAGAAAAGCAGCAGGUUAAUACCCCGCUGUUCUGACGGUACCCAAAGAAUAAGCACCGGCUAACUUCGUG
rnacentral:rRNA from 1 species